rnacentral:rRNA from 1 species
CCUGACUGCUAUCGGAUUGAUACUAAGCCAUGCGAGUCAUUGUAGUAAUACAAGGCAGACGGCUCAGCAACGCGUAGUCAACCUAACCUAUGGACGGGAAUAACCUCGGGAAACUGAGUAUAAUGCCCGAUAGAACAUUAUGCCUGGAAUGGUUUAUGUUCCAAAUGAUUUAUCGCCGUAGGAUGGGACUGCGGCCUAUCAGUUUGUUGGUGAGGUAAUGGCCCACCAAGACUAUUACAGGUACGGGCUCUGAGAGGAGUAGCCCGGAGAUGGGUACUGAGACACGGACCCAGGCCCUAUGGGGCGCAGCAGGCGAGAAAACUUUGCAAUGUGCGAAAGCACGACAAGGUUAAUCCGAGUGGUUUCUGCUAAAGGAACCUUUUGUUAGUCCUAGAAACACUAACGAAUAAGGGGUGGGCAAGUUCUGGUGUCAGCCGCCGCGGUAAAACCAGCACCUCAAGUGGUCAGGAUGAUUAUUGGGCCUAAAGCAUCCGUAGCCGGCUCUAUAAGUUUUCGGUUAAAUCUGUACGCUCAACGUACAGGCUGCCGGGAAUACUGCAGAGCUAGGGAGUGGGAGAGGUAGACGGUACUCGGGAGGAAGGGGUAAAAUCCUUUGAUCUCUCGAUGACCACCUGUGGCGAAGGCGGUCUACCAGAACACGUCCGACGGUGAGGGAUGAAAGCUGGGGGAGCAAACCGGAUUAGAUACCCGGGUAGUCCCAGCUGUAAACUAUGCAAACUCAGUGAUGCAUUGACUUGUGGUCAAUGCAGUGCUGCAGGGAAGCCGUUAAGUUUGCCGCCUGGGAAGUACGUACGCAAGUAUGAAACUUAAAGGAAUUGGCGGGGGAGCACCACACAGGGGUGAAGCCUGCGGUUC